rnacentral:rRNA from 1 species
GGAAUAUUGCGCAAUGGGCGAAAGCCUGACGCAGCGACGCCGCGUGAGGGACGAAGGCCUUCGGGUCGUAAACCUCUUUCAGCAGGGACGAAGCGCAAGUGACGGUACCUGCAGAAGAAGCACCGGCUAACUACGUGCCAGCAGCCGCGGUAAUACGUAGGGUGCAAGCGUUGUCCGGAAUUAUUGGGCGUAAAGAGCUCGUAGGCGGCUUGUCACGUCUGCUGUGAAAACUCGGGGCUCAACCCCGAGCCUGCAGUGGAUACGGGCUAGCUAGAGUGCGGUAGGGGAGACUGGAAUUCCUGGUGUAGCGGUGAAAUGCGCAGAUAUCAGGAGGAACACCGGUGGCGAAGGCGGGUCUCUGGACCGAUACUGACGCUGAGGAGCGAAAGCGUGGGGAGCGAA